CGUUAUGGCGGGCUGUGCGUGGGACACUUUGUGUGUGCCGGGUCCUAAUCCCCCGGUUUGUCCACCCGCGUACAGUUCGCCACCUUU
rfam:Pseudomonas batumici strain TCM B-321 Contig_3, whole genome shotgun sequence.